rnacentral:rRNA from 1 species
AGAGUUUGAUCCUGGCUCAGGAUGAACGCUGGCGGCGUGCCUAAUACAUGCAAGUCGAACGAAACUUCUUUAUCACCGAGUGCUUGCACUCACCGAUAAAGAGUUGAGUGGCGAACGGGUGAGUAACACGUGGGCAACCUGCCCAAAAGAGGGGGAUAACACUUGGAAACAGGUGCUAAUACCGCAUAACCAUAGUUACCGCAUGGUAACUAUGUAAAAGGUGGAUAUGCUACCGCUUUUGGAUGGGCCCGCGGCGCAUUAGCUAGUUGGUGAGGUAAAGGCUUACCAAGGCAAUGAUGCGUAGCCGAACUGAGAGGUUGAUCGGCCACAUUGGGACUGAGACACGGCCCAAACUCCUGCGGGAGGCAGCAGUAGGGAAUCUUCCACAAUGGGCGAAAGCCUGAUGGAGCAACGCCGCGUGGGUGAAGAAGGUCUUCGGAUCGUAAAACCCUGUUGUUAGAGAAGAAAGUGCGUGAGAGUAACUGUUCACGUUUCGACGGUAUCUAACCAGAAAGCCACGGCUAACUACGUGCCAGCAGCCGCGGUAAUACGUAGGUGGCAAGCGUUAUCCGGAUUUAUUGGGCGUAAAGGGAACGCAGGCGGUCUUUUAAGUCUGAUGUGAAAGCCUUCGGCUUAACCGGAGUAGUGCAUUGGAAACUGGGAGGCUUGAGUGCAGAAGAGGAGAGUGGAACUCCAUGUGUAGCGGUGAAAUGCGUAGAUAUAUGGAAGAACACCAGUGGCGAAAGCGGCUCUCUGGUCUGUAACUGACGCUGAGGUUCGAAAGCGUGGGUAGCAAACAGGAUUAGAUACCCUGGUAGUCCACGCCGUAAACGAUGAAUGCUAAGUGUUGGAGGGUUUCCGCCCUUCAGUGCUGCAGCUAACGCAAUAAGCAUUCCGCCUGGGGAGUACGACCGCAAGGUUGAAACUCAAAGGAAUUGACGGGGGCCCGCACAAGCAGUGGAUUAUGUGGUUUAAUUCGACGCAACGCGAAGAACCUUACCAGGAUUUGACAUCCAACUAACGAAGUAGAGAUACAUUAGGUGCCCUUCGGGGAAAGUUGAGACAGGUGGUGCAUGGUUGUCGUCAGCUCGUGUCGUGAGAUGUUGGGUUAAGUCCCGCAACGAGCGCAACCCCUAUUGUUAGUUGCUACGCAAGAGCACUCUAGCGAGACUGCCGUUGACAAAACGGAGGAAGGCGGGGACGACGUCAAAUCAUCAUGCCCCUUAUGUCCUGGGCUACACACGUAAUACAAUGGCGGUCAACAGAGGGAAGCAAGACUGUGAAGUGGAGCAAACCCCCAAAAGCCGUCUCAGUUCGGAUUGCAGGCUGCAACUCGCCUGCAUGAAGCUGGAAUUGCUAGUAAUCGCAGAUCAGCAUGCCGCGGUGAAUACGUUCCCGGGCCUU